rnacentral:lncRNA from 1 species
CGAGGUUUAAGCUAUUGUAAAAGUAACAACAGUUAUGUACUUCGUAAGUCAGGGAAAAUAUCGUAUUCCUCCGCUAGAGACAUUUUAUUGUCCGCUCUUCAUAAGUUAGGUUUAGACAAGACUAAAUUUGGUCUUCAUAGUUUGAGAUCUGGCGGAGCUACGGCAGCUGCCGCAUCAAAAAUUGAAGAUAGAAUUUUCAAAAAACACGGUAGAUGGAAAAGUGAUCGUGCUAAAGAUGGCUAUGUUAAAGAAAAUUUAGAAGAAAGGUUGUCAGUUACAAAAAAUCUUGGUGUUUGAUAUAUAAUCAAUGUGUCCAUUUUUGGCCCAUCCUUUGUUUUGUUCGAAACUUUGCUGCACUCGUCUAGGCGAGCUGUUUCCCAUAGAUAUGUGUUUUGAGUUUUUGUUCAUAAAUACUUUAUUUGCGUUUGAGGGCACGAAUAAGAAAAUAAAUGUAUUUAUUAACUAUCGAUAGCACAUGGGUUUGUUGUUAUAUUGGGAACAUGUGUUUAUGUUUACAAUAAUAUUUAAAUUAUUUUAGCAUAACAAUAAGUCACCUUAACAAAGUUAAGAGUUUAAAGUUCUUUGUAUGAUAGCACGGACUGGUCAGUCGCGGUAAAAGUUAACAUUGAAAAUACAUUUUCAUAGCUUGACCAUUCGAAGCUCAGUCUUAGUGCAGUGAAGUUUCCCCCCCC